CCUACGGGAGGCAGCAGUAGGGAAUAUUGCUCAAUGGGGGAAACUCUGAAGCAGCAACGCCGCGUGGAGGAUGAAGGUUUUCGGAUUGUAAACUCCUUUUGUUAGAGAAGAUAAUGACGGUAUCUAACGAAUAAGCACCGGCUAACUCCGUGCCAGCAGCCGCGGUAAUACGGAGGGUGCAAGCGUUACUCGGAGUCACUGGGCGUAAAGAGCGCGUAGGCGGGAUAGCAAGUCAGAUGUGAAAUCCUAUGGCUUAACCAUAGAACUGCAUUUGAAACUGUUAGUCUAGAGUAUGGGAGAGGUAGGUGGAAUGCUUGGUGUAGGGGUAAAAUCCGUAGAGAUCAAGAGGAAUACUCAUUGCGAAGGCGACCUGCUAGAACAUAACUGACGCUGAUGCGCGAAAGUGUGGGGAGCAAACAGGAUUAGAUACCCGGGUAGUC
rnacentral:rRNA from 1 species